rnacentral:lncRNA from 1 species
GUGCAUGCAUUUAUUCCUUAAUCCAUUCCGGUAUUUUUGAACAGUUUAACUCGACUCUGUAGUAUUUAUUUCUGUAAUCAUUAAAAAGAAACCCCUUCAUGAGUGACUCUAUCUUCAUGUCUUUGUCAGCUCCUGGAGACAUCAAGAAAAGCCAGUGCCUCUCCUUCACUGUUACUCCGUAGCCUUCCUUAACCCUGUCCUCGAACAUGCCCUGUAUCUACGAUAACUUCCGGAAAAACACGAUAAGGGUGUGUUUGAAAUUCGUAUAGAGAGAGCCUGUCGCCAAUCGGUAUCGAAAUAGCUUCUGAUGCGAGUUUGUAAAGGGGUUCUUUAAAAUACGUUUUGCAUGAUUCGUAAUAGAGUCGUCAAGAGGGUCGUGACUAUGAAGUAGCCGUUUCUUCAUCAAUUCUCUGGGUGAUUAUGCCUUAAACUCCUUACUAUUAUAAUUUUAACUGAUCUGCGGGGAACAUUUCCAAAGAGGGUACGUCAUAAUGUUAUGUACAUUUGAAAAAUGGAUUCAAAACCGAACCGUCCUUUUGGCGACAAACUCCUUACCUCAGGGUAUGGGCACUGAAAAUGUGUAGUACAAAGUGUCUUACAGCACAACAAUCACCCAAAACACAUGACCAAAGAAAGUGGCUCAAGAAGAAACGCAUCAAGGUCAUGGAGUAGCCUAGCUAGUCUACGGAAUUCAAUUAUACAUGAAAUGUUUGUCAGUGGGCAAACUUAUAAAAUUGAAAAUGGAUCAAAAACUAAUUUCAUUCACUGUAAAUGAAUAUAAUAUUUUCGUACCGCAAAUAAUGCGCAGAUUUUUCGAUGUUUUUUUCCUUUUAACUACUCAAAUCUCCUUUUUAUUAUCCCAAAUAUAUAAUAUAUUAGUAUCAAAUAUACUUUCAGGGCUCAUUUAUUAAAAAUAAAAAACUUUAUUUAUUCUUUUGUACUACAAA